UCGAGUUAACCCACGGGCUGGCGACGCUUCGAGCGUCGCCAGCCCUUGUUUUUUCGGGUUCUUCCCCGGAACUUGAC
rnacentral:tRNA from 1 species